GUUUCUCUUGUCGUUUUUAUUUUAAUAACCCAUUUUCCCCCCUUUAUUUCAAUAUAGUGUUACGUUGGGUUUAUUUAGAAUUAAUUUCACAUGGUUUUUGUGUUACAUAAUGUGUAGAAAUGUGAAACUUGAAGUACCAUUAUGUAAUUUUUUUUAUUUGCUUUUUGGAUUCCAUCCUUUCUGUUUAUAAUUUCUUUUUUUUGGGUUAAAUAGUUUGGUGUAGCUGAUUUUAAAGGAGCUGUAGACUUUCACUUGAAUGAAUGGAUUCCAUCAUAUGCAAGUUUAAGGUAGUCGUGCAUCAGUAAAUGAUUAUUAAUUUGGUAAGAAAAUGCUGAUCAUUUUUUACGUGGGAUAGUGGCUGUAGGAACUCUUGCUUAAGUAUGACUGGAUCUUAAUCUCAACUUGUUGUUGUGAUCAGUUGUAGUUUUUAACUGGGUUUUGCAGGUGCCUUUUUUGGUGGGGCUGGUUUACUGGCUAGUGAUUUGUAUUGCUUAUCCAAGCUUAACUGUUGCUACUAUUACAUUGAGUACCCUUUGGUUUUCAAUCUCCGAUUCCUGUUCUUUUAUAUGGCCGGCUGGCUGUCAAGCAUGCCGUCGGCAUUUUUUCUAAACAAUAAUUAAAAUUUCUGCGAAGAACUUGAACUACUGCUGUAUUAUUUCUGACUUUGUUGUGGUCGAUAUCCACCCUUGAUUCUGUAGGUUGGAUUAUAUGGCUGAUAUGGAUGUUUCUUUCUCGGGCUGGAACCUUGUCUCGUCAGGUGGUGCAUGAGAUAGGUAGACGACAUCCUGACAAAAUACACAGAAAACAAUAAAUGGAAGCUGACAUUUGAGUUUCUAUUUGUCAACAAUUUAUGAUAAUUCCGUUUCAGUAAAGAAUUCACGCUUAUCUUAGUACAACUGCUUCGUAUGGAUGAAACAGCGGCAAAUGUCACAAUUGAGCCGACUAUAAUAACGGGAAAGGAGUUCUGUUUUGCAGUCAGUUGGAGGGGCGGCUGAAGCUGUCACCAUAGUUGAUUAUUCUCAUGUUUUCAAAAGAAAUUUCUAUCUGGGUUUGAUUUCUGUGGCUCUGUUUCCCCAUGACUUGUGAUAAAAUCGUGUAUAUUGUGCCGAUACUCUGGCUGUAACGAAUGUUAAAAUUGUAUGAUAAAUGAUUAAUAAAACAUUUAGAAUAAUA